UACGUAGGGGGCAAGCGUUGUCCGGAUUUAUUGGGCGUAAAGAGCGUGUAGGCGGUUCGGUAGGUCCGUUGUGAAAACUCGAGCUCAACCUCGAGACGCCGAUGAAACCCCCGAACUAGAGUCCGGAAGAGGAGAGUGGAAUUCCCGGUGUAGCGGUGAAAUGCGCAGAUAUCGGGAAGAACACCCGUGGCUAAGGCGGCUCUCUAGUACGGUACUGACGCUGAGACGCGAAAGCGUGGGGAGCGAACAGG
rnacentral:rRNA from 1 species